UCUUCCGUGGCGCAAUUGGCUAGCGCGUCUGACUGUUACUGGAAUUCGUAUCCAUUGCAAUCAGGAGGUUGACAGUUCAAGCCUGUCCGGGAGAG
rnacentral:tRNA from 1 species